rnacentral:rRNA from 1 species
UUAGAUAUCACGAAGAACUCCGAUUGCGAAGGCAGCUCACUAGACUGUCACUGACACUGAUGCUCGAAAGUGUGGGUAUCAAACAGGAUUAGAUACCCUGGUAGUCCACACAGUAAACGAUGAAUACUCGCUGUUUGCAGGCGGCCAAGCGAAAGCAUUAAGUAUUCCACCUGGGGAGUACGCCGGCAACGGCGAAACUCAAAGGAAUUGACGGGGGCCCGCACAAGCGGAGGAACAUGUGGUUUAAUUCGAUGAUACGCGAGGAACCUUACCCGGGCUUAAAUUGAAGGUGCUGCAUGGUUGUCGUCAGCUCGUGCCGUGAGGUGUCGGCUUAAGUGCCAUAACGAGCGCAACCCUUAUCUUUAGUUACGACUCUAGAGAGACUGCCGUCGUAAGAUGGAGGAAGGUGGGGAUGACGUCAAAUCAGCACGGCCCUUACGUCCGGGGCUACACACGUGUUACAAUGGGGGGUACAGAAGGCGGCUACCUGGUGACAGGAUGCUAAUCCCAAAAACCUCUCUCAGUUCGGAUCGAAGUCUGCAACCCGACUUCGUGAAGCUGGAUUCGCUAGUAAUCGCGCAUCAGCAUGGCGCGGUGAAUACGUUCCCG